UGUCGGGGGGAUGUUCCGCACCAACGUGUAUAAUAACACAUAUUGUGGCCGCUGAACUUCUGGCAGGAGUCCAGUCGUUAUUGACUAACUUGUUAGAAGAUAAUGGACCGCGCUGAUCAAAUUCAACAGCCUGAAGACAUUUUAUUUACAGACUUAACACUACUCUAUUUGAUAGACGAAGACAAGGAUUUCCAGCAUUACACAGAUACAAGGAAAACAACAGCUGUAAAAAGACCAGUUACGGCACCCGGCAAUGCUGGUGAGUAAUUACAACAAUGUUUUGAAUAACACUUUACGGCUAUGUCCGUCUUAAAGACAUACGGGUACUUUCUCCACAUCAAUAAACGCGUGUGUGUGUGUUUCACAAACACUGGGGAAGGAAUGAGCUACACGUUUAAAAAACCUCAUUUGUGCUUUACAAUACCCCCUCAAAACCUUGUGGAGACACAGGCAGAUGUUGACGUUAUACCAGAGGCAGCUGUAUCGACGAGCAGUGAAAAAAAUGUGGAGGAAACGUCAGACACUAAGGUGGUGACAGCGUCGAAGACCGCCGUUAAUAUGCCGACCAAAACCAAAUGUGUCAAGCCUUUGGAGAGAAAUAAUAACGCAAUUAGAGACUUGGUGUUUGGUGAUGUGUGAGACACAGUGCGAUAUAUUGCACAGUUACUAUCAACCGUGAGCACUAAUGAAGUGGAUAAAAAACGGGAUUUAGAGAAUCUAAAGGCGGCUUUAGCAAGUGUACAUUCCGUGUUUCCAAAACCGAUCCAGGUCUAUGCUGCUAGCCUCUUAUACAUAAUUUCUAAAGAAGAUGCCACUCUAAAUUUUGGAUUUCAUAACCUGAUAAUGCUAUUUCAUGGUUCAUUGGCGAAGAUCCCCAGGGAUAAAUGACUAAGCAUGCGGUCUAAAAAGUGUUUAAAAGACCAACCUCUUGCCAACAUCAAGCGUUUGUACAUUAAUAAAAGAAUUAAACUGGAAAAAGAAUGUUUGUUGAGACAUAAAAGAUUCAGAGAGAGUGUAUUAUGUAUUUUUAUCAUUAAAAUCUUCUAUAAUUUAAAACAUACUCUAAUAAUA
rnacentral:lncRNA from 1 species